rnacentral:rRNA from 1 species
AACGAACGCUGGCGGCAGGCCUAACACAUGCAAGUCGAGCGGACCUUUCGGGGUCAGCGGCGGACGGGUGAGUAACGCGUGGGAAUAUGCCCUUCUCUACGGAGUAGUCCUGGGAAACUGGGGGUAAUACCGUAUACGCCCUUUGGGGGAAAGAUUUAUCGGGGAAGGAUUAGCCCGCGUUGGAUUAGGUAGUUGGUGGGGUAAUGGCCUACCAAGCCGACGAUCCAUAGCUGGUUUGAGAGGAUGAUCAGCCACACUGGGACUGAGACACGGCCCAGACUCCUACGGGAGGCAGCAGUGGGGAAUCUUAGACAAUGGGGGCAACCCUGAUCUAGCCAUGCCGCGUGAGUGAUGAAGGCCUUAGGGUUGUAAAGCUCUUUCAGCUGGGAAGAUAAUGACGGUACCAGCAGAAGAAGCCCCGGCUAACUCCGUG